rnacentral:misc_RNA from 1 species
UCCCGGUUAACCCGGGCAGUCUCGCUAGAGUGCCCGCCAUUACGCGCUGGCAACUAACGACAAGGGUUGCGCUCGUUGCGGGACUUAACCCAACACCUCACGGCACGAGCUGACGACAGCCAUGCAGCACCUGUGCAAUUGUCCCUUGCGGGAAAAAUACAUUUCUGUACCGAUCAACUGCAUGUCAAAUCCAGGUAAGGUUCUUCGCGUUGCAUCGAAUUAAACCACAUGCUCCACUGCUUGUGCGGGUCCCCGUCAAUUCUUUUGAGUUUCACCCUUGCGAGUGUACUUCCCAGGCGGUAUACUUAUCGCGUUAGCUUCGGCACAGUCGGGGUUGAGUCCAACUACGCCAAGUAUACAUCGUUUAAGGCAAGGACUAC